rnacentral:misc_RNA from 1 species
GAUGAAGAACGUAGCGAAAUGCGAUACGUAAUGUGAAUUGCAAAUUCAGUGAAUCAUCGAGUCUUUGAACGCACAUUGCGCCCCCUGGUAUUCCGGGGGGCAUGCCUGUCCGAGCGACAUUGCUGCCCUCAAGCACGGCUUGUGUGUUGGGCCCCGUCCUCCGAUCCCGGGGGACGGGCCCGAAAGGCAGCGGCGGCACCGCGUCCGGUCCUCGAGCGUAUGGGGCUUUGUCACCCGCUCUGUAGGCCCGGCCGGCGCUUGCCGAUCAACCCAAAUUUUUAUCCAGGUUGACCUCGGAUCAGGUAGGGAUACCCGCUGAACUUAAGCAUAUCAAUAAGCGGAGGA